rnacentral:pre_miRNA from 1 species
GUGAGUUGCAUACAUGUCGACAUUUCUAAGUGAUAACCCCUGAAAUAUCGACACAUAUGGACUCCCAG